GGGUUUGGGGCAGGUUAAGGCUCCUCUAACAUACACCUAAACACUUUCCCUUUCAAUACAAACAUAUGCGUCUAAUAUUAGAAAAAACACUAAAUAUAUUGCAAGUGGCUAUUGUCUUUCUCUUAAGGUAAAUCAUUUUCUACUUAAACAAAACAAAAAUUUAUCUCGUUUCAAACAUUUUUUUAAACACUCCCUUUUACUACAAACAUAUAUCCCUGUCUUAAAUUAAAAAAACAACACUAAAUAUAUUGCAAGUGGCUAUUGUUUUUCUCUUAAGGUAAAUCAUUUUCUACUUAAACAAAACAAAAAAAAAUUAUCUCGCUUCAAACAUUUUUUUAAACACUUUCCCUUUUACUACAAACAUAUAUCGCUGUCUUAAAUUAAAAAAAAAACACUAAAUAUAUUGCAAGUGGGUAUUGUCUUUCUCUUAAGUUAAAUAAUUUUCUACUUAAACAAAACAAAACAAAAAUAUCCGCUUCAAACAUUUUUUAAACACUUUUCCUUUCACUACAAACACAUACAUCUGUCUUAUAUUAGAAAACACACUAAAUAUAUUGCAAGUAGUUUUUUUUUUCCUUUCUCUUAAGUUAAAUAAUUUUCUACUUAACAAUUUUUUUCUCGCUUCAAACAAACAUUUUUUAAACACUUUCCCUUUCACUACAAACACCUAUCUCUGUCUUAAAUUAGAAAACACACUAAAUAUAUUACAAGUGUUUAUUUAUUUUUAUUUUUUGUCUCAAGUUCAAUCAUUUUCUACUUCAACUUUUUUUUUUUCGCUUCAAACAAACAUUUUUUUUCGAGUUAACAAAUACUAAAUACUAUAUUGCAAAUGUUUUAUUUUUAUUUUUUUAUUCCUCUUCAGUUAAAUAAUUUUCUACUUCAACUUUUUUUCACUUCAAACAAACAUUUUUUCAAGUUAACAAAUACUAAAUAUAUUGCAAAUGUUUUUUCUUCCUCUUAAGUUAAAUCAUUUGCUUCUUAAACACUUCUUUCAUUUCAAUCAUAUUUUUUUUUAUAAGUUAACAAACAUUCAAAAGAGAUUACAGACUUUCAUUAAUUCCUUUAGUUCUACACCCGUUCUUCCAUUAAAAAAAAUAUAUAUUCAUCUGCUGUAACAAGUAAACAACUAUUAUAAUAUUGGUAAUGUUAUUUUCUUUUUAACUUUUCUUUCAUUACAUUUUU